UCACAUCUGCCUCAGCGUCGGUG
rnacentral:rRNA from 1 species